UACGGGGGGGGCAAGCGUUGUUCGGAAUUACUGGGCGUAAAGGGCUCGUAGGUGGCCAACUAAGUCAGACGUGAAAUCCCCAGGCUCAACUUGGGAACUGCGUCUGAUACUGGAUGGCUUGAAUUCGGGAGAGGGAUGCAGAAUUCCAGGUGUAGCGGUGAAAUGCGUAGAUAUCUGGAGGAAUACCGGUGGCGAGGGCGGCAUCCUGGACCGAGAUUGACACUGAUGAGCGAAAGCUAGGGGAGCAAACGGG
rnacentral:rRNA from 1 species